UACGAAGGGGGCUAGCGUUGCUCGGAAUCACUGGGCGUAAAGCGCACGUAGGCGGCUUUUUUAAGUCAGGGGUGAAAUCCUGGAGCUCAACUCCAGAACUGCCUUUUGAUACUGAGAAGCUUGAGUCCGGGAGAGGUGAGUGGAACUGCGAGUGUAGAGGUGAAAAUUCGUAGAUAUUCGCAAGAACACCAGUGGCGAAGGCGGCUCACUGGCCCGGUACUGACGCUGAGGUGCGAAAAGCGUGGGGGAGCAAACAGG
rnacentral:rRNA from 1 species